CACGUAGUUAGCCGGCGCUUCUUCUGCAGGUACCGUCACUCUCGCUUCUUCCCUGCUGAAAGAGGUUUACAACCCGAAGGCCGUCAUCCCCCACGCGGCGUCGCUGCAUCAGGCUUUCGCCCAUUGUGCAAUAUUCCCCACUGCUGCCUCCCGUAGGAGUCUGGGCCGUGUCUCAGUCCCAGUGUGGCCGGUCGCCCUCUCAGGCCGGCUACCCGUCAUCGCCUUGGUGAGCCAUUACCUCACCAACAAACUGAUAGGCCGCGAGUCCAUCCCCCACCGAUAAAUCUUUCCAACACCCACCAUGCGGCAGGCAUUCAUAUCCGGUAUUAGCCACCGUUUCCGGCGGUUAUCCCGAAGAGGAGGGCAGGUUACUCACGUGUUACUCACCCGUUCGCCACUAAUCAGACGGUGCAAGCACCAUCGUCAUCGUUCGACUUGCAUGUGUUAAGCACGCCCGCCAGCGUUCGUCCUGAGCCAGGAUCAAACUCU
rnacentral:rRNA from 1 species